ACCCUAGAGGUCAAACAAGGAAGUGGUUCCAAUCGUUUUUCCACCAUUCAUUUUUCACAUAAGGGAUUUUAGAAACACUAAGAAUAAGGGCUGUGUUUCAUGUAGGUAGGCUUACCCUGGCGUGACAUUUUGAUAACCGUGUAUAUCUCUAAAAUAGCGAUAUAUUCGCCUGUAUUCCCCCCCCCUAAAAAAAAAAAACCGAAACGCUAUUUAGAUGCUAUUGUGGCUAUCAUAAAUAGCUGCAAAUGCCAUGAUGAUCUGGAUGAGACUGCCGAAUCUAGGCAAAGGUAAGAAUCUCUGGAUUAACUAUCUAAUGUUAGUUACAUGUAGUAAUAAAUUAUUAAUAAAUUGGCUACAUUUCUUUAACUUCUUCAGGAUCAGUUGAGCUAACGUAGGCUAAUGCGAUUAGCAUGAGGUUGUAAGUAACAAGAACAUUUCACAGGACAUACACAUAUCUGAUACGGGCAAUUAAAUUAUUGUUAAUAUAACUGCACUGUCCAAUUUACAGUAACUAUUACAGUGAAAGAAUACCAUGAUGUUGUUUGAGGAGAGUGUACUUGAAAAGUUAUUAAUAGACCAAUUAGGCACAUUUGGCCAGUCUUGAUACAACAUUUUGAACAGAAAUGCAAUGGUUCAUUGGAUUAAAUUGACAAUUCUUUGACCUGUCUUGUGCAAGUUUUAAAUUGACACAAUACCUGUUAGCAAAGGUGUCAGCUAGAGAAGAUGUGCAAGGAGCUUGCAGGGAUUUGUAGUCUUGCAUGAUGUCUACGUUGACGCUAAUUAGCAUUUUUCGAAUCUAUAGCGUAAAUAGAGCCGAAUAUAAUAAUAAAAGUCACCUUGUCCGAGAGAGAUUUACAUGGUUAUCAAAACGUCAAGCCAGGGUAAACCUACACAAAACACAGCCCUUAUUUUAAGUGUUUCUAAAAUUCCCUAUGGGAAAAAUGAAUGGUGGAAAAAUUGGAGCCGUUUGACUGCUAAGUACAGUGGCUGCUCCACUUAAAGUUUUGUGACUAUUCUCUGGGAUUUAGAGGGUUAGGACUGUAACCACCAGAGGACUUGAAAAUGAGCCAGAGCUGAGAGGAUCACCACAACUAAAAGAGCAUACAACCAUGCCGACAAUCAUCCGUGGACAUCAGUGGACAAAGGGCUGGACAACAGGCAGCACCGAAAAAACGCAUGGUUGCCAAGAAAGCGGCCACUGUAAUCGAUGGGGGCUCAGGGCGGUACCAUUCUGCUCAUUUGAUGAAGGUGCACAUGGAUCUGAUUCAAACUUUGAAGAUCGAGAUCGAGUCAUUGAAGGCAGACCAGCAGAAAGGGAAACAUUAUCUGAUCCACCACCGACAGGCAGAGUCAACAUACCUCACGGGUUCAUCCGGUCGUCAGUUCACGUUCAAGGCACACUUAACCAGCAUGGUUACCACAGCAUUCUACAGCGAUACGCCAUCCCAUCUGGUUUGCGCUUAGUGGGGCUAUCAUUUGUUUUUCAACUGGACAAUGAUCCAAAACACAUCUACAGACUGUGUAAGGGCUAUUUGACCAAGAAGGAGAGUGAUUGAGUGCUGCAUCAGAUGACCAGGCCUCCGCAAUCCCUGACCUCAACAAAUUGAAAUGAUUUGGGAUGAGUCGGACCACAGAGUGAAGGAAAAUCAGCCAACAAGUGCUCAGCAUAUGUGGGAACUCCAAGACUGUAGGGAGAAGCAUUCCAGGUGAAGCUGGUUGAGAUAGUGGCAAGAGUGUGCAAAGCUGUCAUCAAGGCAAAGUGUGGUUAUUUGAAGAAUCUCAAAUAUAAAAAACAUUUUGAUUUGUUUAACACUUUUUUGGUUACUACAUAAUAACAUAUGUAUUAUUUCAUAGUUUUGAUGUCUUCACUAUUAUUGUACAAUGUAGAAAAUAGUAAAAAUAAAGAAAAAGCCUGAAACUUUUGAACGGUAGUGUACAUUGUAAUUAUGACCACUUCCGGACAGGGUUGGGGAGUAACGGAUUACAUGUAAGUGUGACAGUUACAUGUAAGGGAUUACCCAAAAACUGUAACUGUAAUGUUAAAAUAUAGUUGUAGACGGAUGAACCUUGUCACGUGUCUAUUCAAUGUUUGAUUCAACAAGUAAAGCCUUUCAGU